UACGUAGGGUGCAAGCGUUAAUCGGAAUUACUGGGCGUAAAGCGUGCGCAGGCGGUCGCGCAAGACAGAUGUGAAAUCCCCGGGCUUAACCUGGGAACUGCAUUUGUGACUGCACGGCUGGAGUGCGGCAGAAGGGGAUGGAAUUCCGCGUGUAGCAGUGAAAUGCGUAGAUAUGCGGAGGAACACCGAUGGCGAAGGCAAUCCCCUGGGCUAACACUGACGCUCAUGCACGAAAGCGUGGGGAGCAAACAGG
rnacentral:rRNA from 1 species